CCCACAUUGGAUAUUGCCAACAAUGAACAAUGACAUUAAACUUCUGCAGAGGCGAAAAUAAUGCUAUACAUUCAUUUUAUUUAUUAAAAUGAUUUAUGAGCGAAUUGCCUUCUUCCAACAGUCAAACUCGAAUUCCCCUUCACUAAAACAUACGGGAACUGUUUUGCGCAGUGUCCACUAUUGGGAAAUGGAAAAAUCGAAUUUGCUAGACGAAUAUGGAUGGAAUUCUUGUCUAUUCCUUUUUCUAUUUUUUGUUUGAUUUUUUAAAUAAAUUAGCUUGUUUAUCGAAUUUAUCUGGAUGGGGUUUAUCGUUAAAAAAAAACACCCUACCCAAAAAAAAAAAAUUUAUUUAUUUUUAUAAGUAUUUUUAUUCAUUAACCUUCUUCUGGCAUACGAGUCACAAUCAACCUUUUAAUUUUGACAAUAAUAUAAUAGAAAUAAAAUAAAUUUUCAGUCGUGGUAAUUUCUAUUACAUAUUCGUUUAAUGUAAUGUGUUUUGACAUUACUAAAAUGGGAUGAAAACAUCCUUUUACGAGUCUAUUUAAUCAUACAGAAAAAAUGGCAUUGAAGAUGCAAUUAAUGAAUGGAAUUCAUUUGAUAAAUGUAUUCAAUGGAAGGAUAAUGCUUCCAAAAUAAGGAUGGUCAAAAUUUAACUCAAGAUUGUUAAAACAAGGUUGUAAUCGGAGUUUUCCGUUUUAUUGAAAAACAUAUCCCCUUAUGUCUUAUGACUAUUUUAAUUGAAUAACAUAAUUCAAAUGCCUUUUGUUGCCUUCUAUGCACAUAUGUGAACGUAAAUCUAGCGCAUCAUUUUAUAAUACAGUUAGUAGGCCGAAACAUACAAGCAUAUAACAAAGAUAAAUCAACUUCUUCGAGGAAGCAUAUUCCCUUGAUCAUGCUCAACAGUUUCUAACUUCAAUACAAGCUUUUUUUAUUCAUUUAUUUAACUAUUUGUUGCUACACAUACUAGUUUGUUUAUGUAUCAUAUUCAUUGUCGGCAUGGCAACGUGGAUUUAUUUACGCGCAGCGCGUACUCAUUUAACCAGCACCACGUAUAUUCAUUUUUACAAAUACCCAGCUUAUAUCGUAGUGAGGAGGCGAAUUUUGCGAAAGAAAGCAUUUCUUUCAUUUUAAUAUUUAU